CCUACGGGCGGCUGCAGUGAGGAAUCUUGGUCAAUGGGCGCGAGCCUGAACCAGCCAAGUAGCGUGAAGGAUGACUGCCCUACGGGUUGUAAACUUCUUUUAUAAAGGCAUAAAGUGAGGCACGUGUGCCUUUUUGUAUGUACUUUAUGAAUAAGGAUCUGCUAACUCCGUGCCAGCAGCAGCGGUAAGACGGAGGAUCCGCGCGUUAUCCGGAUUUAUUGGGUUUAAAGGGAGCGUAGAUGGGUUGUUAAGUCAGUUGUGAAAGUUUGCGGCUCAACCGUAAAAUUGCAAUUGUUACUGGCAGCCUUGAGUACAGUUGAGGUAGGCGGAAUUCGUGGUGUAGCGGUGAAAUGCUUAGAUAUCACGAAGAACUCCGAUUGCGAAGGCAGCCUACUAAACUGCCACUGACAUUGAUGCUCGAAAGUGUGGGUAUCAAACAGGAUUAGAUACCCGAGUAGUC
rnacentral:rRNA from 1 species